AUUGAACGCUGGCGGCAGGCUUAACACAUGCAAGUCGAGCGGAGUGAUGGUGCUUGCACUAUUACUUAGCGGCGGACGGGUGAGUAAUGCUUAGGAAUCUGCCAUUUAGUGGGGGACAACAUUCCGAAAGGAAUGCUAAUACCGCAUACGUCCUACGGGAGAAAGCAGGGGAUCUUCGGACCUUGCGCUAAAUGAUGAGCCUAAGUCGGAUUAGCUAGUUGGUGGGGUAAAGGCCUACCAAGGCGACGAUCUGUAGCGGGUCUGAGAGGAUGAUCCUCCACACUGGGACUGAGCCACGGCCCAGACUCCUACGGGAGGCAGCAGUGGGGAAUAUUGGACAAUGGGCGGAAGCCUGAUCCAGCCAUGCCGCGUGUGUGAAGAAGGCCUUUUGGUUGUAAAGCACUUUAAGCGAGGAGGAGGCUCUCCUAGUUAAUACCUAGGAAGAGUGGACGUUACUCGCAGAAUAAGCACCGGCUAACUCUGUGCCAGCAGCCGCCGUAAUAC
rnacentral:rRNA from 1 species